GGGCGCCGAUGGGGGAGAUGGAGGGGAGGCGUGCCGCUGCUGCUCGUGCGGAGGAAGUAGGGGUGCUGCUGCUGUGGGAGGAAGGAGGAAGGAGGAAGAAGGAAGCUGCGCUGCUGUUACUCGUGUUGAGGAAGAAGGUAGUUAUAAGAUAGUGUUAAAAUAUGUUACACAAUCUAUAUAUAGACAAGCUGAUGGAAAACUAGAAGAUGUUUUGAAGGAAUCUUUUUAGGUCUAUAUGAAGAUAUAGACAAUCACAUAUAGACAAGCUGCUGAGGAUGCUCUUACAAUGAACAAAUCGACAAGAAGUAAAAUUAAUCACAGCAUUGGCCCUGAUUUCUCUAAACAUCGCGCCAUCUGGCCCCAAAUCAUGAUCUGAUCCAUUAAGUGCCUGAACGAGCAGAAGGACAUCUGCUUACAUUUGUCAUUCCCCACAUCUGGGCUGCCUCCAAUGCCUUGAUACAAGCGGUCUCUUCAGCUUGUAGAGGAUCCAUAACAUGAUUAAUCUUCCCAGCUUUGGAACCAACAACAUCCCCCUUGGUGAUCUCUAAUAAUAAAGCCCCAUCCGCCCGACCUUGUCCCAGCAUCGAAGCUGCCAUCAAUAUUGAUGUUGAGACAAGUCUCGUCAGGUAAAGAACAGGAUGUUGGUGGAGGUUGGGCCAGCUUCUCUUGUUUCAAGAAGAAUUUUUCAUACUCAAUAGCAGAACGCCAGAUUCGGAAGCAGACAUCAUCUAGGUUGUAGACCCCCUCACCAGCAUUAAUCUUAUUACGGACAUUCCACCGUGUCCAAAGCAUUGCUAUGCACAAUAUCUUUUGCUUUGUGGGCCGAGAGAAGAUAUGUUCCAGCAUCGCUUUUGGGCCAUUACAUCUAGUCAAUAAGGCAUGUUCAGGUUCCAUAUCCGGUGUCCGCCAAACAUUUCGUACAAAUUUGCAGUGAAGGAAUAGAUGACCCCCAUCUUCGUUCAGUCUGCGACAUACCGGGCAGCAGGUUUCACAGUCCACUCCUCGCCUUCGAAUGCUCAUCCGAAGAGGUAAACUAUUGUGUGCAAAUCUCCAUAAGAACUGCUUAAUCUUUGCCGGGCAAGGCGCUGACCAGAUAUAGUUCCAAUUAAAAUCUUGGUCACGACCGUCACGGUGAGAUCCUUCAGCAAUAUUAAUACGUUCAAAUUUCCGAGCCAGACGAUACGCCAAUUUCACUGUAAAUAUCCAUUUUACCUCAUGAUGCCAUACCCAAGUAUCUUCCAUAUCGGAAAAAAAUUACCUGUGAUAUCAGAAAAAAAGUACCUGUGAUAGUCCACCAAAAAGACACAAACGUAGGAACAAAAUAGAUCUCGAAAAAAAAGAACAAAAUAAGUACCUGCAGGCCUGCAGGAUUACUAGCGGUGCAUUGGCCAACAUCCGCGGAAGCCUCACGGCGGCUUCGCAACGGUAGCAACCUGCGAGGCAGUUGAUGCCGUGGGGGCGACGCCUACCGAUCUUGCGCCCCGGCGGACCGGUGAUGCCAAGCCCGAGUCCAACUCCAAGCUGGUAAGAAGUCCCUGUCAUCCCAGAGUUUCCUUUUGUAGGAGAACCGGUCAGGAAUCGAGUAGAUCGAUUUGGACGUCUGUGUGGGCGUGAGGUGUUCGAGGAAAUGCCACAACACCGAGAAAGUAGAUUGUAGUCAAAAAGGGGAUUCUUUUUUUAAUGGAAGAAAGGGGGAUUUAUGAUUCAAACAACUGGCCCUACAAGUAUCCCCUCAUCCUAACACCCAUUUAGUUUGGCACUGGAUGUCCUCAGUCAGACACACGUCCGUGUUGUUCGCUGAAUUUUUGUAAUCAUCAACACAUAGUCACCUUCACUUCACAGAUGAGCUAGCCGGCCAUACGUAAUUUGUAGACACGAUCAUCUGUUGUUGACUUGUUGAUGCCCUAUAGUUUAUUUAUUUAUUUAUAUGUCUAUAGACCGUAGUUGGUCCCUAAUUUGUUCUAGAAGAUAAAAAUUGUCCAUUUAGGCUCUGUUUGGAACAAAGGAAUAAUGGAAAUUGGAGUAUUGAAUUUCUGUGGAAAACAUUACUCAAAGAAAAUAAUUCCUGUGGGAAAGUUCCUAUGAAAGCUCAUCACUUACCCUUUGCAAUCCCAUAGAAUGGGGCAUCCCACAAGAAUUUCGAAGGAAGACAAACAUGAGGUCUCUACUUGUCUUUUCUUUUCUUGGUCUCUGAAAUUCCUGAGUCUUUCCCACGUGAUAGCAAACAACACUUUUGAAGUUUUCUUGUGUAGAAUUCAGUGUACAUGACAACCGAUUUCUUUUGGUUUUCCUACUCCCACGUUUUUUAAUUCUCUUUUCCAAAAAGGCUUUAGUCUUGAUUAACAAUUGAAAUGAGAGUUCUCCAGCGGGUGCUAAUUCUUGCCUUGUUUCUUCACAACAAAUCCAAAAUUUUAACGCAGAGACUAAAAAUUUGAGCAAGUCAAGAGAUGUUACUUAUGCAAGGAGAUUUUAUUUUGCUCAAAUGUCGAUUUUGAAUUCUAAGGAUGCCACUAAGUAACAGGAGAACUCCAAGGUCUAAGAAAUAUCAAUUCCUUCACUCUCAGUUUUACAUGUGUAUAGACAGUUCAAAAACACCUGCACACCCCACAUAAAAGAGUGAGUAAGAAGAUAUUCGUCAAUCAUAGGCAUGCUGAUGCAUAUGUUUCCUGUUUCUGCUUUGUUCUAUCAUCGGGCUCCAAGAGCAUACCUUUUGCCGCUGGAAAAUUUCUGCUGGUUGCUGUUCUUCGCAUGCCGUCCAGACGUGUCAUGGUCCGCCGCUGGUAUUUCUUCACACCCUGGUCAAUGUUUCUGAUUGAACGCAUGGACAGCCGCCUUUAAACCGUACACUUGCUGGCUUGUGACUUUUCUGUUCAUUCUUUUCUCGGUUCUGGUUUCCGUCAUUGGCUUCGUUUCUUUUUCUGCAGCCUCCUGGAGCUGUCAAGGCAAAGCUGCAAGUGAUUUUAACUAUUGAUCAUGCCCUGUAUUCUAUGUCAACUCGUCAAGUAUGGAAAGUUAGAUAAGAGAUUUAUGUGUUCAUAAAUGCCAGUCUGUCAUUGAGGCAGACAUUAUCUGACUCUGUCUGUCGAUUCUUGUCUGGCAUUUCUGUCGUUGUGAGUUGUGACCUUUGCAAAAAAAAAGUUUUUGCGAAAAUUAGGUCCAAGUCCAACAUGAAAUAGGAAAGUGUGAGUUAAAAGUUAUGUUAUCGGUAUACUAAGUAGUUAGGAACUUAAUAUGACUAUUCGUAUCCGUUGCCAAAAAGAUGUGCAGGUAAAUUUUGAUGAAAGCUGAGUCACUAUGAAUCUAUGAUCAACAUUAGAGGUGUCAUUGCAAAUAAAACUUCAUGAGAAAUGAUGUCUUCAAAUGUGACAUAUUCAGCUAUUUUAAAAAGAUGUGUUAUUUACCUUUCUCGGUAGCAGGUCCUGAAGAUGAAUUGUUUUCUAGUUACACAGUGCACAAUAUGCAUUUUGUUUGAACAGCAAAUCCGUAUUUAUCUUUAACUAAGUGCAAAAGCAAUUAAAUUCAUAUUUUACAAAUAACUACAUCAUGUAGUGAUGCAAGUACAUAAUAGAAGUCAUUUUGUACAGUUUAAUAGAACAUUAACUUUAGUAACCAACCUUUUGUACAAAGGUGUUUUAUGUUGUAGUAGUUGAUGCAGUAUCAAACACAAGUCUUCCUGCCUAGCAGAAAGUCAAUACUCGCAUUUCUUUUCCUUUUCCCCUCAAUAGCACUUGCUCAAUGUUUCCCUUUGUUAUGCACGCGUGUUGUGUGAGUUCUGGGCAUUCCAAUGGCUGAGCUAGCGACAAGCAUGAUGAUCGGACCACUGGUGUGCAUGGUGAAAGACAAGGUGUCCAACUACCUCCCAGACCAGUACAAGGUGAUGUAGGGCAUGGAGAAGCAGCACAAGAUCCUGAAACGCAAACUACCAGCCAUCCUGGAUGUCAUCAGUGAUGCCCUGGAGCAGGCGACCCAUAGAGAAGGGGCAUAAUCCUGGCUCGAAAGAUCUCAAGACAGUGGCCUAUAAAGGCGAAUGAAGUAUUUGAUGAGUUCAAGUAUCAGGCCCUCCACUGCAAAGCCAGGAAGAAUGGACACUAUAGCAAGCUCGGCUUCAAUGUGCAACAAGCACCAGCAUUCAAGCAGUGGCGGCUGACGGAUUCCAUCAUUGUCAACCCAGAGAAUAUUGUUAGCCGGUCAAGAGAGGAGGAGAAGCAGAAGAUUGUUAAGAUACUAGUUGAUCAUGCUAAAGUUGUCACUCUGAUGGUUCUUCCCAUUGUUGGAAUGAGUGGGUUGGGCAAGACCACCCUAGCACAACUCAUCUACAAUGACCCUGAAGUUCAGAAGCAUUUCCAGACACGGAUGAUUUUGAUGUUUAUGACAAUGAGAAAGUACUACAGAAGCUUCAGAAAGAACUGAGUCAAAAGAGAUACCUUGUUGUAUUGGACGACGUCUGGAACCAAGAUCCUGAUAAGUGGGAGAGCUAAAGGCAUGCCUUCAACAUGGUAGUGUUGGUAGUGACAUAUUGUUGACAACUCGCAUCAAAGGAGUUGCACAACUCAUGAGUACAAUUGAAGCCCAUGGCAUCACAGUUUUGGAAAGGAUUCAUGAGGGAAAUUAUUGAAACAAGAGCAUUUAGUUUGCGACAUGGUAAUCCUGCUCCUGAGAUGCUUAAUAUGUUUGAUGCUCCUGAAGUAUUCAAUAUGGUUGAAAAGUUCGUGGAGAGAUGUGCUGGGUCUCCUUUGGCUGCAAGCAAUAGGAUCUGUACUGUGUACCAAGACAAGUCUGGAAGAAUGGAGCACUGUGCUAAACAAAGGGAUCAUUUGCACCGAGGAGUCUGGAAUUUUAGCAAUACUGAAACUCAGUUACAGACUUGCCACCACAUAUAAAGCAGUGUUUUGCUUUCUGUUCUGUGUUUCCCAAGGAUUAUGUUAUUUGUGUGGACAUGCUGAUCCAACUGUGGAUCGCAAAUGAUUUUAUCCCGGAACAAGAAGUUCGCCUUGAAACCACUGGUAAACAUAUUUGUCCAGAUACAUUCUGACAUCAUUGUGAUCAGGUCCUAGGCUAUUGAAAUCAAACACAUGGAAAUAUGCCAUCUGGAGAGAUUAGAGAGCUAUCGGUAGCAUCAUAGAACACAGAGGCAACUUAUGGAACAGGGCCUAGAUUACUAUGCGCAAAGAUGUGGAAAUAUGCCACGACCUGUGAACAAUUGUGAAUCUACACCACCGAAGCCCUUAAGAAGCCUCAGCGUCCAUGCAAACAAGAGCCUUGAUACCUUGCCUGAAACUAGCAUCAGGGCUCACUUUUCCAGGCCUGUGGGGCAAAGUGCCUUCAAGUGUGUUGCAAUCUCAUGAGAUUAACAUCUGUGGGGGUUGUCAGCACAUUUGGCCCAGAAGAUUGACGCAAAGUUUGAGUUUUACAAGAAGAAUUUCUAAUGCUCUAAUGGUGGCUAUUCAAGUAGCAUAACUGAUGAGAUGGACUGUGGCAGGAGGUCCUUAGCAACAUAUUUCAAAGGAAAAUCUUUGUCUUCCAUGAGGGGUAAACUCGUCGACUCCCUUAUGGGAUCAGGUUAGUGAAAGUUAAGGACCAGUUCCUACAAUUUCGGUCCUUUAUAGCUAAGAGCGGACUACAUUUCGUUUCUGGGAGGACAAGUGGCUUAAUGGUUCACGCUGAAAGUCAAGGACAGUUACCCAAUUUGCUCCUGGAAAUGUCCUCAUUUGCAGUUACGCACCCCCUCUUCGUUUGCGGCAUCCACCAACAAUUUCAGUAACUCUGAAGAUCAAUUCACCAGCAACCAACAAUUUCAGAACGCAUCCAUGUGCUUGGCACGCAUAUCGAACGGGACUUGAGGCUGUAUCAUCUUCCCAAGUGUGCAGUUGUGGAUGCAUGUUGAUGCUGGGGGGUCAGGGCUUGAUAAUAGGCUUUGGAUUCUUGCGUGGUGGUCGGCUCCAUGUUUACAAAUGGAAAGCAGAUGGUAGGUACGUAAGGCUGUUGCACUAGUGCUGAUGCUCAGGUAAAUUUGAGGGGAACCUUUGUUUAUUUUGAGGUGAUGUAACGCACUCUCCUGUUGGCUUGCUUUGGGGAUGUAUAUAUAGUUGGGGGAAGCAACUGUUAGACUGAAGUUUGAAACCAACCACCUGUGCAUACUUUUGUAACGUUUCUGGGCCUUUUGGAAUGUAAGAUAAAAAAACCAUAAUGCUGCAGCGAAAUUAAAUUACUAUUGUAACAUUUGAAGUUCGAAAGACACGUGGUGAUUAGGCCUGGACAAAAAGAUCGAAGUUCAACAAUCUUAUUGAACGCUCGCUAACUCGGUUUGUUAAGGGCUCGGUUCGUUAACUAAAGAACCAAACAGGACUUCCUUUUCAGAUCGUUAAGCUUAACGAUCUUAAAGAGCGAACUCGGCGAGCGCUCGUUAAGCUCGUUAGCGAGCUCGUUUCGUACAUCACUCGUGAGUGGGUACUGGAACUUAUUUUGAUGUUCUAAUUGUGCUGUUAUUUCUCUUUUGCCGUGUUAUUUCCAAUCUUUAUAGCGUUGUUCAGCUUUUGAUAUAUUUUGUUUACCGCCAAAAUUUAUCCCAAACAAAUAGGUAAUGCCAAAAAAUUUAGAUCAACAUGCCAUCUAUUUAUCUUAACGAGCACUCGCGAGCUCUUAACGAACCGAGCCGAAUAAUGGUCUCAGAUUGUUAACGAUAACGAUCUUAACGAUCCGAACUCAAUGAACCGAGCUCUUAACGAACCGAACUUGCUCGUUAGCCUGGUGAUAGAAAAAAAACUUUGAGAUUAGGAUGUCAUGAUGUCUUGGAUAAUCGAUCAAACACGGAAAUUUGUAUGUUUGGAGGUCCCUAGGAAUUUUCAUAGACAACCAGAGACAUGGCUUUUCGGUACCUUAUAUAUAUGUAUCUAAGCUUUUAUGGUCCACAUUAUAUCAUUUUUUCAAAAAGGAAAGACUAAGCCAACGGGUCUCUGCAACUCUGCAUCGUGCAAAUUCACUAACACCGUUCGUUGACCAUCAACUUGAUGAGGAAAAGCAUAAACUUCUCCUUCCUCCGGCUGUGUUCAUCCUCAUCCAAAAUGAAGCCUCUCCAUGGAAUCGGGCUGGAGCUAGUCUUGGCGAGUUGGUGUCGGGCGAUGAUGACGUCCCUUAGUUGUAUUGGCCCGCCGUGACUGUUGUAAUCUUUCUCAUCCCCUCUCUUGUGGUUCUUUUCCGUGUUUAUGUACUUUCUUGGGUUGAUUCUCUCAACCUAUUGGCAAUAAAUAGACUGUUUCGUCAAAAA